AACAUAAAUUUCAAAGCUUCCUAUGUCUUAAAACUUUCCUAAUUUAGUAUAAAAUGUUCCUUCAGGGAGUGGAUACAAAUCUUAGGGAAAAGACUGCAGUGGCAAAGAGAAAAUCUUUUCAAAUUAUAUAGUACUUAGUAAACACUUUAAUAGCUAUAGAGAUAGAUAACAUUUAACUUUCUUUUGCUCUGUUAGCAUGUUAUACCAAGAAUCCUGGUAUUUCAUGGAAUGUAAAAGAAGGGUUCUAUGGGUUCAAUGUUGGUGAUCAAUUAUUUUAGUAGAAGAGAAGGGAAGGCAGCAUCUUUGAGUUCCAUUAAUACAUUUCAAGCCCAAAAACAAUUCUCUACCAAAAUCAGUCAGGAAACUCUAGGUUGAGAGAACAAAAUUAAGUUACUUUUUACACCAUGCUCUUUUCUACUAUACCAAUUAAACCAAAAUUAUUUAGGUGAAAAUAAUUCACUGAACAAUUUAAAUUUUAGGUUGCCUUCCCUUUAUAACUUUAAGACAUAGCUAGGCUGAGCUCCCUCCCUGCUGCUAAUUGCUAGUGAAACAUUCAUAAGGAAUAAAAACUCAUUUUAUUAUCACUAGAUAGAUAGAUAGAAGAUUUGUUAAAUAAGAUAAAAAAAAAUAAAUUUCAAAACAAAAGGGAGAAGACUCCAAACAAAAAGCGUUUUAAACACCCCAAUUUACCUAAAUAAAGAGAAGCAUAAACUUCAGUCCAAUAAUGCACUACUAAAAGGUAAAGUAUUUGAGGGACUUCUUGUUAAUGAAGUUAUAUGUGAUGAACUCUUCUUUAAUUUAUCUCAACAUGAAAUCAUCUAAAGUUUCCAAUUACAAUGUAUCAUAAAUUAAACCAGGAUUCUGCCAUCCACUUAUAUUUUGAUGAAGAUAUGAAUGGAAAUGCCACAUGGAAACACAGAGUGGGCUACAUGUGGGAGUAGUCUGUAGAAUAGAUAGAUCUUUCUAUAAAUAGAUAUAUUUAUAAAGGAUAAUUUAAGUGAAUGACAAGGAGAUAACUGAAUUAGCCUGUCUCUAUUCCCUGGAUGAACCCACUGUUCUAUUUUUAGUUGGCUGGCUGUAAAGUGUUGAAAGCUUUGUGGGACAUAUAAUUUGUUGCAUCUGUUUAUCCUAAGGUGACCAGAUGUCCCCUUCUAAAGGGAUGGCCUUCUUUGAUUACAUUUUGUUCCCUUGAAUGAGGAUCUCCCUUUUAUAAUCUGUAACUCCGCACCUCUUCUAUUUUUCCCAAAUGUGUGGACAGAACGGCACCUGUCUAUGUGAGUCUUUUUUCAUCUCUUAGAUGAAACAGACAGAGGCUCUCGGACAGAAAUUCAGCUGAAUUACAUGAAGAGGGGAGCGUCAAGUCAGAAGAAGCUAGAACCAGGAGAGAGCUCUUCAGAGGCAAGACAAUCUCAACUUGAUGCUGGCUCUGGAGGCUGAAGAAAGUAGAGGCAGAAGCAAAGAACAAAUCUGCAAGAGCUUUUAGAACCAAGGAGAGAGAGAGGCCUCUAAGAAAAGCUAACCGGGCUAUAUUGGAGAUUGAGAGCCAGAAGCCCUCUCUCCGAAGCAAGAGAGAGAUCUAUUCCAUUUCCCACUUGGCUGGCUGGAGGACUAAAGGACAAACAUUUGGAUUUAUUUGGAGGGAGCUCUUGGAACCAAGCAGAGAGUUAGACCUCUAAACUAACCGGGCUAUAUUGGAGGCAAUAAAAGAUCUGAACUUUUACCACCUGGCUGCAUUUUGAGGUGAUUAUUACUUUCAAUUGCAACUAAGGCUGCCUUCGGAAAACCUCCCCGAGAAACUUGCUCUCACCCGGAGAGAACCAUCAUAUAUUAUUAUAUUUUAAAGAAGAAAAACACCACAAAUAUACACUCCAAAGCAAUAUUUGAUAGCUAGAAUUUAUUAUAUCAAUGUGGUAUAGUGUGGGUAGAUUUCUCCCCAAAAUAAGUACAUGGAGGAAAAUUCUAACAUAGCAUGGUUUUAUCUGAACCAAAUGACACCCCUCUCUCUUAAGUAAAUAAUAUUGUAUUUAACACAUGUAUUUAUUUUAAAAGUCAUUUUGUUCUCUGAGAUUCUAUAAAUAUAUUUCAAGACUGCUCACCUUAUUUUCUUCAUAGAAUCACACAAAAGAUGUCAGAAGAAACUCAACCCUUAUCCCAUUUGGUUCAAUUUUCUCACAUUAAAUAUGAAAGAAGUAAGAUUUGAAGAAAGUGGUUCCAUAGCUUCUUGAAUAUUGGGUUUGUGGAUUAUUUCACUUAGGUUAGUACAGAGAUCAUAACUGAUAGAAUAAUAAAUGCUUGUUUGAUACUUCAUAUAAACCUCAUUUCUUAUGGAAUGAUGCAUGAUAGAGACUUAAACCUUAUUAGUCACUUUCAUGCUUGCUGUAAAUGCAGAGUUUUCUUUUCCACAAUGAAGGCAGGAGAGGAAAUAUUAGGAAUCAAAGGGCCUAGGUUCAAAUUUCAGUUCCUCUAUUUACUAGCGAUGUGUAUUCUCUCUAUAACCUCCUUUACUUGUGUUAUUCUUCAAAUUCAACUCAAAGUGCUACCUUUUACAGACAAAGCCUUCGAAGAUUCAUUUCAAUGAGUGUAGACCUUUCUUCUCAGAUCUCAUGCAACCCUUUUUUCUUAUGCCCAAUGCUUUAACUUGACAAUAGCUAAUAUUUAUGUAGUGCUACUGUGCUGGGCACUAUGCUAAGGAGUUUUACAAUUAUUACUUAUUCAGUACUAAGUAUGACAUAUUCAUUUACAUGUGUUUGCUCCCAAUUUGAUUAGAAAUGUUCUAUAAGGACAUAUUCCACUUCCACCACCAUCCCACUCUGGCCCACAUAUAUAGUAGAGGUUUAACCAUUUGUUGAAUGUUUGUAGACUACAAAUCUUUAGUCUUUAAAAUUGUCCUUGGUAUAUUCCUCACAAUGUUCACUCAAGUGUGCUCUUUGCUAUGAAUAACCCUGUAAGAAGAAAAUACUAGGCAGUUUGGAUAUUCUUUUUUUUUUUUUUUUUUUUUUUGACAAGGAUUGAACAGCAGAGGAAAAGAAAAUAUCAGUAUCUUAGAAAGUAAACCUUUUAUAAGGUAAGUCCCUGAAUGCCCCAAUCUAGCUAAAAAAACAAAAUGCUAGGAAAAAUACUUUCAUUCUGUGUAUAAGCAGUAGAUCAAGGAAGGUCACUAAAGAAUGAAAGGUCUUCAUACCUGGUGUUUAGUUCUUGCAAUUUCCUAAGUAUGUUUUUGCUCUUAUACUUUUUACUGGUAGCUUGCAUACCUGAAUGGAAAGAAUUUCCAUGUGUUGAAGGUCACUGCUGGCACCCACAAGUUAGAAUGUUUUUUUUUUUUUUUUUUUUCAGUGAGGUACUACUGGUUAGCAUCUCUCACCUAAACAUCAAUAGUAAGAGCUUGCCCUGAGAGUCCUGUUGCCAGUGAUAGACUGGCUAUAGAGUUGAACUCAUUUAACCCCCAAAUAAAAUUCUUUCCUUCAUCUUCCAAUUCCUAAUGAAUAAGUCUGACUCAGACACUCCCUUGUUCAUAAACAUCCAGUGGCUUCUUAGUAGAUAUAAUAUAAAGUUACUUCCAUAAUUAGGGCCCUAAUCCAAAUCAGUUUAAUAAACCUUUAUUACUAUGUAAAGGAUCCUAUGCUCCUCUCCUAAUCAUCUUUCUAGCCUUAUUUUGCUUUAGUUUCCUUCAUGUUCUCUCUAGUCUGGUCAUAAUGAAUUACAAGCUACUUUCCAACUAGAACUUCUGCCUUCAGCUUCCUUACAUUCUUCACACAGGUUGAUUAAAUAUCUUCUCCCAUCCCACCAAUGCCUGAAGCUCAGAUCAGGUACCAUUUCUUCCAUGAAAAAAGCUUUGCCUGUUAUCUUUAGCUGAAAAUGUUCCCCCCUCUCCCCCCCUCCAAAUUUUCCUAGAUCUUGUCUUUUUCCUCUCUGCCUUGUAUUAUGUUUUGAACAACAUUUCCUCCAGAAAAUCCAAGCUAAAGGAGGAAAUCUGUAAUUUUAAAUUUUUUCACCUCCCCUUCAACACAAAAGAGUAUACAUGUUUGCUGAAUUCAACUGAUUCAGUGGCAGAUGCACAGAUAGACCAGAUAAACACCCCAAAAUACUAAAAAUGAAUUAGCAAAAUGAUCCUUUUUUUUGGAGAAAACUAUUGAUGGAGACCAGUACUUUCUGAGCAACUUACAUCCUUAGAGCUGCCUAGAGCACUGAGAGAUUGAACGACUGCCAGAAUAAAUAAACACAAAGAGUAUGUCUCUGUGUGUGUGUAUGGGGGGGGGGAAGGAGGGGUGAAGGAAAGGCAAUGUGGUGGUAAACGGGAGGGAGAGUUAAGGGGAGGAAGUGGGGGUGGGGAAAGAGAGGGGAGGAGAAUCAAGGCAGGUCCCAGACAUUAAGAAUGUAAGCUUUCUGAGAGCAGGGCAUGUCUCAAUUUUCUAUUCAUAUGUUCACCAUCUUGCACAGGGCUUAGCACAUAGUAAGCACUUAAUAAAUUAUAUUCAUUCAUUGAAAGCACAUCUCAAUUUGAUUUUAAAAGGCAGGUAUUAUACACAGAUGAAAUGAGAAAGAAGACAAUUGUGGAUAUAGGGAAUUACUUCUGAGCAACCACAGGGAGGUGGAGAUAGAAUGUCACAUUCAGGAAAUAGCUAACAGACCAGUUUGACUAGAACAGAAAAUAAAGCUGGAAAGUUAUGUGAAAUGCUAUCUAUCACUCGAGAGUAAGGUAGGGAUACUGGAGUCUAGAUUGAGACAUUCAUUUCUGGACAGGGUCAGCAUAUGUAUUUGUUUUGCUUAAUUAUUUCUAUUUGUUAUAAGAAUUGUUUCCCCCAGUGGGGAAUUACCUGUAAUGAGAUGGAAGGAGGGAAAGGGAUACACACACACACACACACACACACACACACACACACACACACACAGAUAGAAUUUGAAGAAUUUUUUUUUAAUAUGCAUAGAAAAGAGGGUGGUUCAGAGAAACAGAGAAAGACAGCUUUGAAACUGUGUUGAGAUUAUGCUAUUCUGAGAAGAAAUACAAGCUUUAUGUAAUGGAGAUAUAUUAAGUUUACAGACAAUACAUUUUUUCCAGUUUGCUGUAUAUAGAAAUGUACAUUUUUUUCAAUGUUUGUUAAAUUUGGAAUAAUAGAAAAAUUUUGUUUUAAAGAAUGAAAAGUGGGAGCUAAAUUAUAUAUAGUUUUUUGAUAGCCUUUGAAGACUAAGACUUGGUUACCAUGUGAAGAAUAGACAGGAGAGGAGAAAAUGGAGGCAGGGAGUCUAAUGAAAAGGCUAUUUUAAUAGUUGAGAUGAUGAGGCUGAUAUGGAAGUAGGUUUAACAAGGGACUUUUCAUUUGAAAUGAAAUUAAGGGAGAGGAAUAGGUAAAGACAACUCCAAGUUUCUGAAUCUGGAUACAAGCAUUAGAAACAUAUGGGGGGAGGGUCCUCAAAGUCAUUCCCUAUUGCUACUAGAAGGUCCUCCCUUCUUUCUUGUUCCUCCAAAGUUACCUGCUGAGCUUCAGACCAGUUUUAAGAAGAAAGUCUAAUCCAACCAUUCUGGAGAGCAAUUUGGAACUAUGCUCAAAAAGUUAUCAGACUGUGCAUAUCCUUUGAUCCAGCAGUGUUACUACUGGGCUUAUAUCCCAAGGAGAUCUUAAAGAAGGGAAAGGGACCUGUAUGUGUAAGAAUGUUUGUGGCAGGUCUCUUUGUAGUGGCCGGAAACUGAAAACUGAGUGGAUGCCUAUCAAUUGAAGAGUGGCUGAAUAAAUUGUGCUAUAUGAAUAUUAUGGAAUAUAUUGUUCAAAAUGCCCAGCAGAAUGAUUUCAUAAAGGCCUGGAGAGACUUACAUGAACUGAUGCUGAGUGAAAUGAGCAGGACCAGGAGAUCAUUAUAUACUUCAACAACAAUACUAUAUGAUGAUCAAUUCUUUUUUUUUAAAUUUUCACUUUAUUUAUUAUUAUUAUUAUUUUUUAAAAUAACUUUUUAUUGACAGAACCCAUGCCAGGGUAAUUUUUUACAACAUUAUCCCUUGUACUCACUUCUAUUCCGAUUUUUCCCCUCCCUCCCUCCACCUCCUCCCCCAGAUGGCAAGCAGUCUUUUACAUGUUAAAUAGGUUACAGUAUAUCCUAGAUACAAUAUAUGUGUGCAGAACCGAACGGUUCUCUUGUUGCACAGGGAGAAUUGGAUUUAGAAGGUAAAAAUAACCCGGGAAGAAAAACAAAAACGCAAGCAGUUUAUAUUCAUUUCCCAGUGUUCUUUCUUUGGGUGUAGCUGCUUCUGUCCAUCCUAGAUCAAUUGAAACUGAAUUAGAAUGAUGAUCAAUUCUGAUGGAUGUGUUCAUCUUCAGCAAUGAGGUGAACCAAAUUACUGCUCCAAGGGAGCAGCAAUGAACUGAACCAGUUACACCCAGCGAAAGAACUCUGGGAGAUGACUAUGAACCAUACAUAGAAUUCCCAAUCCCUCUAUUUUUGCCUGCCUGCAUAUAUUUUUUUUUAUUUAAAUUUCCUUCACAGGCUAACUGUAUACUAUUUCAGAAUCCAAUUCUUUUUGUACAGCAAAAUAAUUUGGUCAUGUAUACUUAUUUUGUAUUUAAUUAAUACUUUAACAUGUAUUGGUCAUCCUGCCAUCUAGGGAGGGGGUGGGGUGAAGGAAGGGAAAAAUUGGAACAAAAGGUUUGACAAUUGUCAAUGCUGUAAAAUUACCCAUGCAUAUAACUUGUAAACAAAAAUCUGUUAAAAAAAAAAAAAAAAGAAGAAGAAGAAAGUCUAUAUUGGGAACUCUUCCUUGAAUCCAGAGCCAAUCCCAAACAAAAUAAUCAAACUAGUAAAAGUUUUUGUCCUUCAUUGCCUGAUAACUGACCAGGUAACGCAGACAUUUGACUGUCUUAAUGCGCUGUUCUCAAUUCAUGGCCAAUGUAAAGGAAGAAAUAAUGGGUUUAUAACUAGGAGACUUGUCUAAUCCUAGGUGGUUCUACUAAAAUUGGGUGACACUGUCCCUAACUUCUCUAAGCCUCCUUUCUGUUACCUGCAAAACAAGAGGGAUAGGCUCUUAAGACCCCCUCCAACUCUAAAACCAGGAUCCUAUAUUUAAAUCAGUUUUGCUUCUUAAGCUAUGUUUGUGACAGAUAAAAAAACAAAACAAAAACAAACAGGAAAAGAAAACAAAACAGAAAAAAGCUUUGAAUUUUCUAUGAUAAUCAUCUCUAGGCACUGUGCUCUCUGUGGCAAGAUGGCAAGGACUACAAAUCUGUUUUUAAUGUUUGCAGACUUUACUACUCUAAAAGUAAAAAAAUAAAACUGGACUGAUUAAAAAAAUACAACACACCACCACCAACAAAUGAAUACCACUAGACCAGAUGGUCUCCAAGGUUCAGCUUGAUCUCUCUAUGAUCAAAUGUUAUAAUUUGCACAGCUAGAUUUAGCAAUUUAAGAGGGAAACUUUUCUACAGCCUUAGGGGUUCCAAGUGAGCUGGAAUGUGAACAGUGCACUCUUAAGUGAACAGUUGCUGAUGGUAACAGAUUACCUUAUCAAGUAGCUCAGCAGGAGGGUAUCAGAUUUCCCUUCCAGAAUUAGAAUACUUAUGAAAUAUAAAUGUAGAUGUCAUAUAAUAGAAUUACAAGGAUGUCAAUAUAAAAACCUUUAAAGUAUGAAUGGAAAUUGUGGCAAGCCUGUGAACUUCUAGGAUCCCCCCUCCCCGCUGAAAAUUUAAACAAUUACUGCAGGGGGGGAAAAAAAGAAAGAUAUUUAGGAUUAAUUCUGAAACAUUAACGGUUCUUUCUUGGGACUCCUGAUCGAAGGAGUGAUAUGUAGUUUAAAAGGUCAAAUAAUCAUAUAAACUUCCUGAAACUUCAGGAUCUUUCAAUGUACUCUGUCUUUUGCUUAACAACAGAACUAACAUUUUCCAAUUUAUAUUAUUUGCCUCUGUUACUUUAUGUCAAAAUCCAUUACUUAUAAUCUAGUAUCAUGAACUAUGUAUGAAAGAACAUUAAAAUUUAAAUAGCACAAUCCUUUAUUCUUUUAAGUACAUACAUGUAAAUUAUGACAACUUAAAUGUGACUCUUGCAUUUCAGCUAUAAAAAAGCAAGAAUGUGUCCACAAAACCUAUCCUAACUGAUCAAAAGGUACUUAUUGCUAUGGUAUUAAUUGAGACACAUUGUCAGACAGAUUGCUAUUGUUGUUGUUGUUCAGUCAUUUCAGUACUGUUUGAUUUUUCAUGAUCUCAUCUGGGACUUUUUUUUGCAAAGAUACUGGAGUGGUUUGCCAUUUCCUUUUCCAGAUCAAGAAAAUAAGGUAAAGAGGAUUAAAUGACUUGUCUAGGGUCACAGAACUAGUAAGUGUUUGAGGUCACAUUCUAGACUUGGUCCUCUAUCCACUGUACUACUCAGCAUGCUGUAGGAAAAAGAACUGGAUGUGGUGUGAGAGGAGGCAUGGGUUCAAGUCUCAAGUUCAAUAUACUAGCUGUCUGAGUGAGAAGUAAAAUAUAACUUUGACGAGCUUCAGUUUCUUCACCCUAACUACACUCUCAUCUGUAAAAUGAGAAUGCCUGUAAAUACUUACAAGUUUGUUUUGUAGGUGAAAUGCCAAUAUGUGUGCAAAGCAUUUUAUAAAUUUUGCAUGAAUAUCAGCUACUAUUAACUUCAGUAGAGUGAUGAUUCUGGGACAAUCCUUAUCCAACUGAUAUCUUUGCUAUAUAGCUUUUAGUUAAAUAAAAAUUAUUAAGUAAGAUUUUGUUAUAGAGUGCCUGUAGACUUUCUUUCAAAGAAACAAAAGUAACUCAGAAUAUGUCUAUUUUCAAAAACCAAAGUAAGUUUAUAAGAAAUUAAGAUUUGAUCAAAUAAAAUAAUCAAAGGAAACUAAGCAAGUAACAAAAACUUGUCCAAUGACCAAAAAUAUAAAGUAGGUGAUACAAUACACUACUAAAAUAGCUCUCACAUUACUACUUUUCUUUACAUUUUCCUUACCACCAUCUUAAUCCAGGUGCUUCUCUCUUUGUAUCUAGAUUGUAUCUGGAUUUCUACAAUUACUUUUGACUGAUUCUUCCCACCCAUCUAAGAUUAAUCUUCCUAAAAUAUCACUUCCUUUCGGAUUCAAGAACCUGGAAAUGGCUCCCCAUUACAUGAAAUCUAAACAACUAUGCCUAUCUUUUCAACAAGGAGGUGAUUCAGGACAAUUCUAAAUGAUUGUGAUAGAGAGCCAUCUAUAUCCAGAGAGAGGACUGUAGGGACUAAAUAUGGCUCACAACAUAAUGUUUUCACCUUUUUUGCUAGGUUUUUUUUCUUUCAUUUUUUUCCCUUUUUAAUCUGAUUUUUCUUAUGCAGCAUGACACUUGUGGAAAUAUGUAUAGAAGAAUUGCACAUGUUUAAUAUAUAUUGGAUUGUCUGCUGUCUAGGGGAGGACGUGGGGAGAAGGGAGGGAGAAAAAUUUCGAACACUUGGUUUUGCAAGGGUGAAUGUUGAAAAUUUGCACAUAUUUUGAAAAUAAAAAGUUAUUAUUUAAAAACAACUAUGCCUAGCUUUUGUAAGGUUGUCAAAAAUUUGGACCCACUCUUUAUCCAAUUUUGCUUUUUAGUUUUACAAUUUUUUGGUUCUCAUUUUUGUUUGAUCAGUCUCCUUUCUUUUCCCUUACUCAUAUUUUCGUGAUUCCUACCUCUGAGCUAUCCCUCAUACUACCCCUCAAAGUCAGUACAUACUGACUCAUUUUCAAAUUGUACUUUGUAUCUUUGAACUAUCCUCUCCUUUCUAUAUACAUCCUAACUACUCAUCACUCUUGACCUAUCGGAGUGGUUUUCUAAUGGUUUCUUUGCCUCCAAAGUAUCAUCUCAUUUCAGUCCAAUCUCCACCUAGGACCACCUGGAUUUUCCUCAAGUGCAGGUUUGACUUUGUUCUUCAAAUUUCCACUCAAACUGUAAUGGCUCCCUAUUGUCUCUAUGAUCAAAUAUAAAUUCUCUGUUUUAUAUAUCUAUCUUUUUGUCCUUUGGGUCCAUAUCAAAUCAGCUGUCUUAUGUGACACUUCAUACCAGAUAUAUACAUAUUGUUUUGCUUACUUAAAUGGCCCCAGACAGCUACAAUUUAAGGGUUUAUUUUUUUCCUGUUUUUUUCAAUAUGAGACUUGUCACUUUUUACUUUCAGUGCCUACUUCAUUUUCAAAUUUGCUAGUGGGUAAGAAAUUACAUAACCAUAAUUAUUUGAACUAUGUGCAAAUUAGAAGUAAACAGAUUUGAAUGAAGGGCUCAAAAUUAAAGGGGCAUGUACUUCAGGAAUUCUAUUAUGUUACCUUUUUGGAAUUCUUGGCUAUGUAUUACAGAGUUUGAAUAACACUGCUGGAGAACAGAAUGGAUACUUUUAAAAACAAACACACAAUUAAUUGACUUUUUUCUGAUCAAAGUCAAAUCAAAUAAGCUUUUUAAGGACCAGUGUGGAUUACUCUUCUCUGACAGUGAUGCAGUUAAGUUUAUUAAAACCUUUUAUUGCCUACUGUCUCUAUCAGACUUUUAAAGAAAAUUCUAUCUAUGGAAAGAUAAAGAAAAAAGAAUGUGGCUGGGGAAAAAGAUAAAACUUCCCAAAUUCUCCUUUCACUAUCAGCAUUCCCCUCCCACCCCCCCACCCCCCCACCCCAUCCCCGAUAAAUGAAUUCCUGGUCAUCUAAAACACACUCAGAUCUCUGGCACUUUUUGUAAAAGGCCAGUGUCCAAGACUGGCCACUCCAGAUCAACUAAGUAGCCAAAUACGCGGAGUCAGCAAAGUCUCAAGAGGAUGAAUUAUAAGCUGCAAAUAACACUCUAAUUACACUAACUGGCCAAAGUCAUGAUUCUGAAAGAAAGAACUGCUGCUUUCUUCCUCAGGCUAUGCUUGGGAAUGCUUUAUAUUAAUUAUAUAAUUUUAAAAAAUCAAAUAAGACAGCCUUAUGCUCACCUUGAAUUCUUUGAAUUUAAUUUUAAAACACAAUUCAACAAUAGGCUUAAAAAAAAAAAGACAAAUUCUCCAAUAAUUUUUUAACUCUUGAGAUCACAGAAUAAAGUAUAGUUGUUCUCUUUCUCAUAUUCUGAAUUUCCUCCUUUGGGAAAUGCAUGUACAACUAAAAUGUAAAACUGAACGGCAAGUAACAGAACACUGGCUGCUUUGGAGAAAUCAUAAUUCAGAGAUGGUAUCAAAAAAAUGUUAAACUUGGUAUAUUACAAGAAAUGUGAGCAUUCUCAAUAGAUCUACAAUUUUACUACUUUACCUAUUAUAUCUGUUGGCUGACAUGGUUUGUAUUAUGAAUGGGGCAAGGGUGGUGGUAGAAGGGAUAAUCUCUUACACUUGAGAAGCAAUGUCAUAAACAUCUCUAAUAGCUUGUCACAAUUUAAAAAAAUCUGACCAUAACAAAAAUAUUUCCUCACAUUAUGUUUUGAAAAGUAGUGGACAGAAAUAGGAACAGGUACUGUGAUUUCAUUAAUAUAGGGCACUGCUAGGUGAAGAAACUGCUUCUUCUUCCAAAGUUGGGCUAUAUCAUCUUUGGAACUUAAAAAUCUUAAGAAAGUUUGGGGGGAAGGGAGAGAGCAAUGAAAGGAGAAAUGACUUGCUUAAAGGGGCUAAUCCCAAAUCUGCCUGACCAGUUCUUAAUCCAGGAUAUCAAAAUGCCUCUCAAAAGACUUUUUUUAUUUUGAGGCAUAGAAGGGAAGCAUAUCUUUUAUAGGGGUCCAUAAGAGCUAAACAGAAAAGGCAUUUAGCAAUUCAACAAUGAUUAUCAAGUUUUAUUUGCUUUAAAUUUUUAAAAUUUGACUUUGGGGAAAAAGCAAAUAAACUCAAACACUCCCUCCUUAUAUCGACUUGAUUAUGCUCAUUUUCCUGAGUUCCAAAAAUAUAGGUUGCUGUAAAAUAGUAGAAAGAACAACAGAUUUGGAUGGAAUCAAAAGUCUUGGACUAGGAUACCAGUUUGAUGCUUUGGUGGCUUUAAGAUAUGGGCAAUCACCUAGGCUUUCCAAGUCUGACCCUUUAUCAAUAAAAUGGGGAUAACUAUAAUCCCUACCUGAGAUUAAGUGAGACAAUGUAGUACUUUGUAAAUCAGAAGCCAUGUUUUAGAAUUUCAUUUCAUAAAACUGUGUGGCAGAAUGUGAAUGGAUAGGCACCAAAAUCACCACCACUACAGGCACCAAACAUUAUGGGCCCAAGAGACCAAGAUCAGGAAUCAGCAUUUCACCUAGGGGUACAUUUUAAAACUGGUUCACAGGGUAACAAAAUUCUUUUUGCCUGAUUUUGUGAUGUGGAACAUUUGGAAAAACAAACAAAAUCAAAUAAUGCUCACUUAUUCUUUUCCCCCUCCCUCCAAUGCCAAAAACUGAUUUACAAUCCUUCAAUGAAAGGCACUCUAGAGUUCAAAGUAAUAUGAUAUUAUGGGUCUUGAAUUUUGUUGAAGCAUUAAUUAAGUUCCCUUUAAUAUCAAGUUCCUGAAAGUUGAGAAGAAGUCCUUACAGUGUUUCUGGUGGCUUCCUGACAGCGAGGAAGCCUGGCUUCCCCAGAGCACAUCACUGAUUUAUAGAAUUCCCAAAGUCUGGUUCCCCUGGCCAGCUGGACAAGCAGUUAACACCAUUAUCCUGAGAGUAGGGAUGGGUUGGGAGAGGGAGAGAGAAUUAGGAAAGAAGAUAAAUUUGAGAAACAGAUACACAUAUACUCUCUACUCCUUUAUCUUGGGGGCUUUCAGAAACGGGAAGCAAACAAUGCUCCAGACAUUUCUUUCUCUUGUACUGCAACAUUCCUUUUAUUAAUCGGGGCCAUACUAUAAAUAUCAAGUAGAAUUCUAUAUUAUAUUUUAUAUAGCAUAAAUUAACAUAUAGCAUUGUACUUUUAAAAGAAUACAUAUAUAUCUUUAUAGGUAGAGAGAAUAUCUACUUCUUUUAAAGAUGUCUUUCAAGUAUUUCUUCUAUUUUGGGUAAGACUGGACAGAUCUAUGAUUUCAGUGGCAUAAAGGAACUCUCAAUGAGGAAACUCCCUUUUAUAAUCUUAGACCGUUGUCUGAGGCACUGAGAAAAAUGGUAGACUCUAGGUUACCUAGAUAGUAUAUGUCAGAGAAGACUUAAAUCCAAGGAUUCCUAAUUCUAAGGCUGGCACUCUAUGCACCAUGUCCCACUGCCUCUCAUUCAUGAAUUUCUCAAAUGGUGAACACCUUCUAUGAAAUCUGAUAGGAAGCCUAAAACAACUGAAAGAAUACUGGACUGGGGUUCAGCAAACCUAGGUAAUACAAGUUACUUAUUGUCUCUGGGCCACAGCUUUAUCUGUAAAAGAGUAGGACUCCACUGGCCUACAUGAUUUCUAACCUUCCUUUCAUUUGUGAGUUUUCAAUGACUCUUUUCUUUGAGACCCCAGCAUUAAGUAGUACGUUACAUUUUCUCUAAUUCACCAGGGAUAUACUUUCUUAAAUGAUCCCUUGAAAUGAAACAUCCUUCUUCCCACUUCACUUUUCUUUUAAAGUUAUGAUUUUCUUUAUUUUUAUAGUGAUCUAGAUUGAAACAGCUCUCUCCAAGAUUACUAAUGACCCUUCCAUUGCUCAAUCAGGUUAUCUUUUUCUGUCUUCAGCUCUUUGAAUACUCAUAUCUAUAUAGCAGAUGAUCCCAAUUAAAGCUACUUUGAUAGGAAGGAUGGAUAGAUAGGUAAUGGAAUGCAAUCAGAUGGAUUCAGGAUUCAAGGGAUAUUUGUUCCUUGGGUCCAAUAUCAAUAUGGUGGGGGGGGCUGAAGGGUCUCUAGGAGUACUCCAGGGACCUCUGUGCUUGGUCCUGUAUUGGCAUUUUUAUCCAUUAGUGGACAAAAGGGUAGAUGGUAUAAUCUUAUCAAAAUAGCUGAUGUUAAGAUGCAAUACUUGGAGAGAAAGCUAACAUAGUGAGAGAAAUCAGGGUUCAAGACUUGAAAGUUUAGAAAUUCUCCACCAAAGCACAGAGGACCACUUAUUGGGUAUAUUAUAAUGGGGGAUUCCUUUGUAUAUGAGUUGGGUAGAUGGUCACUGAAGUCCCUUCCUAUUUCCAAAUUUUAUUCUAUUGCUCUCCCUUGAUUCUCCUACUGACAUGAUCUCUCUUUGGACUUGUCCCUUCUGCUCUUUGCUUUUAUACAAGGUCUUCUUCAAACCUAGAAUAGACUCCUCUGCCCUGAAAUCCUCACCAUCCUUAAUUCCUCAGGGAUGUCUUCCUAAAUUUCCCCCCAAAAUUAAUGCUCUUUCCUCCUCAAACUAUUUUAUGCUUUUAUAUGUAUAGCCACGGGGUAUGAGUUUUUGUAGCCCCAUCACUAAAAACAGUGCCUUAAAAAUAAUGGCUACUUAAAAAUUUGGCUUUCAAAAUAGCUGGAUUUCUCAAAAGUGAAAAAUUAUUAAGAUGCACAUUAUAUAAUGGCUUUUAAAGAACAGUAUUCAGCAGUGGACAAUCAUGUUUCUGGCCUUCCUCUUUUCCCUACAGCUUUAUUAUGAGUAAAAUAAAGGAUUUGGUUAUUAAAAUCAGUAAUUCUAAUCUGCUGAUGGCGAUUAUGCUCAAAUUCUAUUUGGAUAACGAGAAUGCUUUACAAGGGGCUAUUUGGAUUAAGUAGCUGAAACAAGGAAAAGUAAGGCUCUAAUUCUCUUCUUUCCAAACUUCCUGGAUUCUUAAACACUAUUUCCUUGUUCUUGUUCUUUUUUUUUUUUUUUCCACUUUGAUCUAGAUGCCCAAAUCUGCCAGAAAGUUCCAGCAGAAGAGUAGAAAACCUGGGGAAAUGGAGCCCAAUUAAUCUCACUAUUAAAUUCAGGGAGCAAAUGUCCAUGAAAUCACUGAAUAUUUGCACUACAUGAAUGAAUCUUUCAAUUAGUUGUUGCUGAGUGGCUGAGUGACUUCAUGGCCCUGUAGAGCAACUGUGUAUAUUUUUUUAAAUUUUAAAGUUUUGAGUUACAAAUCCUGUCCCUUUUUCUUCCCCUUCCCUGAGAUGAUAAGCAGAUAUAGGUUAUAUGUGUACAAUUAUGUAAAACAUUUCCAUGUUAAUCAUUUUGUAUAACAUUCUAAUAAAAGAAAAAAAAAAGAAAAGAAAAAAAAUUCUAUCUACCCUCAUUCAAUAUCAGAUUUUGAUUUGUUUUGUUUUGCUGAGGCAAUUGAGGUUAAGUGACUUGCCCAGGGUUACACAGCUAAGAAGUAUUAAGUGUCUGAGGCCAGAUUUGAACUCAGGCUCUUCUGACUUCAGAGCUGCUACUCUAUCCACUGCACCACCUAGCUAUCUCUAAUAUCAGUUCUUUCUCUGAAGGUGUUAAUCCUUUGGGAUUGUCUUGGAUUAUUAUUGCAUUUCUGAAAAUAUCUAAGUUAUUCUCAGUUCUUCAUCAGACAAUACUGCUAUCAUGUAUAAUGUUCUCCUAGUCUUGUUCACUUUACUAUAUAUCAGUUCAUAUAAGCUUUUCUAGGUUUUCUGAAAUUAUCCUGAUUAUCAUUUCUCAUAGCACAAUAAUAUUCCAUUGCAAUCAUAUAUCAAAGUUUGUAUAGCCAUUCCAAUUGAUGGGCCUCCCUUCAAUUUUCAAUUCUUAGCUACCACAAAGAGCUACUACAAAUAUUUUUGUAUAAAUAGGGCCUUUUCUCUUUCUUUGCAAUAUGGAAUAUAGAAUAAGAAAAGUAUUGAUCAAAGGAUUUUUAGCACUUUGGACAUAGUUCCAAAUUGCUCUCAAGAAUAGUUGGAUCAGUUCAUAGCUCCCAUCAAAAAGGGCACUAGUUUUACCAUAUCCCCUCCAUUUUAAUAUUUUCUUUUCUUUUUUUUUUUAAAUGACAGCCACUCUGAUAGAUGGAUUAUUUACUUAUUCUAUUUCUUCUGGGCAAUAUAUAUUUGUGUAAAUAUUCAUCAAAUUUAUUGGCAUAAUGAUGGGGUCAAAUAGCUCUUAACAAUUAUCUUAAUUUCCUCUUCACUGGUGGUGAAUUCACCCCUUUCAUUUUUGAUACCAAUGAUUUAGUUUCCUUUGUUCCUUAUCUAUUUUAUUGGGUUUUUUCCCCCCAUAAAACUAGUUUCCAGUUUUAUUUAUUAUUAGUUCAAUGGUUUUCUUACUUUCAAUUUUAUUAAUCUCUGACUUUUCAAGAUUUCCAAUCUGGUGUUAAUUGGGCAUUAUUUGUUCUUUUUUCUAUUUUUUUUUUAGUUGUAUGCUCAAUUCAUCAAUUGCUGUUCUCUAUUUUACUAAUGUAAGCAAUUAGAUAUAAAUUUCCCAAGUACCAUUUUGGUCCCAUCCUAUAAAUUUUGAUAAGUUGCCAUUUUCUUUACUGAAAUUAUUGUUUUUUUCCUAUGAUUUUGUUCUUUGAUCCAUUCGUUUUCUUAUCAAUAGAUUAUUUAAUCUCCAAUUAAUUUUAAUUUCUAUUGUCCAUUAUCCUAAUAUAAUCUGAAAAGAUGUGUUUACUAUUUCUGCUUUUAUACAUUUGGUUGGGAGAUUUUUAUGUCCUGAUACAUAGUGUCAUGUAUUGCUAGAAAAAAGUUUUAUUUUUUUCUUUUUAUUCCCAUUCAAUUUUUUCCAGAGUUCUAUCACAUUUAAGAAUUUCUAGAAUUUUAUUCAUCUCCUUAACUUCUUUCUUGUUUAUAUUUAUCUUGUUCUGAGAGGAGAAAGUUGACAUCCCCCACUAGUAUAUUUUUUUAAUUACCUAUUUCCUACUGUAAUCAUUCAAUUCUUCAAAAAUUUAAAUGCUAUAUGAUUUGAUAUAUAUAUAUUUAGUACUGAUAUAACUUCAUUGUCUAUAAUAACUUUGAGAAAGAUAUAGUUUCCUUCUUUAUCCCUUUUAAUUAGUUUUAUUUUUGCUUUUGUUUUGUCCGAAACCAUGAUUGCUACCUAUUCUUUCUUUGUUUCAGCUAAAGCAUAAUAGAUUCUGUUGCAGCCACUUAUCUUUACCCUAUAUGUAUCUCUCUGCUUCAAAUGUAUUUAUUAAAGAACACAUAAUAAGAUUCUGGUUUUUAAUUCAUUCUCUUAUCUGCUUUCAUUUUAUGUGUGAGUUCAUUCCAUUUCCAUUUAUAUUUACAUGAACUAUUUGUUUUCCUUCAUGCUAAUUUUUGCUUAUCUCUGCUCCCCCCAUCCCUCUGAAGAAGCAUUUUAGUGAUCUAAUCACUGCCUUUUUCCAAUAUGCCCUCUUUUUUAUUAGCUAUUUCUCCCUGUUCUAGUAUCCCUAUCCCUUUUAACUUCCUUAUAGGGUAAGACAGCUUUCUAUAUUUAAUUGAGUCUGUAUGUUAUUCCAAUUUGGAUUCAUGUCAUUUCCCCUCCAUUAUAAUACAUUUGUGUGGGAUAAUUUACCCCAUUCAAUCCUCCUUCCAGUACAAUUUUCUUUCUCACCCCUUUGUUUUUUGGGGGUAGUAUCAUCCCAUCAAAGAUACCUUAUAUCCAAAUCUUCUGUCUACAUAUACUCUAAUUGCUCUUAUAAUAAUAAAAUUGUAAGAGUUACAAAUAUUGUCUUUCCAUAUAGAAAUAUAAACAUUUUAACCUUAUUGAGUUUCUUAUGUUUUCUCUUGUUUCUUUUUUACCUUUUUAUAUUUCCACCGACUCUUGUAUUUGGAGAUCAAAAUUUUUUUUAGUUCUCUUCUUUUUAUUAGAAAUGCUUGAAAGUCUGCUAUUUCAUUAAAUAUCCCUCUCCCUCCCUCUCUGUCCACUUUUUCCCUGUCCCCCUCCUCCCAAAAGAUAUAUUCAAUUUUCUUGGGUAAAUAAUUCUUAGUUGUAAUCCUAACUCCUUUGCCUUCUGAUAUAACAUCUUCCGAGUCCUCUCUUUCUUUAAUGUGGAAACUGACAAACUUGUGAACUCCUGACUGUAGUUCCUCAAUAUUUGUUUGAAUUGUUUCUUUUUGGUUGCUUGCAAUACUUUCUCCAAGAUCUGUGAGCUCUGGAAUUUGACUAUGAUGUUCUUGUGAACUUUCAUUUUGGGAUCUCUUUCAGAAGGUUAUUCUUUCAAUUUCUAUUGUGCCUCCCGGUUCUAAAAUAAUUGGGGCAGUUUGCUUUAAUAAUUUCUUGAAAGAUGUUGUGCAGGCUUUUUUAUUUUUUUUUUAAAUCAUGGCUCUCAGAUAAUCCAAUAAUUUUUAUAUUAUCUUUCCUGGAUAAAUUUUCUAGGUCAUUUGUUUUUCCAGUGAGAAAUUUCACAUUUUCUUCUGUUUUUCUUUUACUUUUUUGUUUUUGUUUUAUUGUAUUUUGAUAUCUCACAGUCAUUAGCUUCUUCUUGCUUAAUUUAUUUUCUUCUUUUUGCUUUUGUACUUCCUUUUCCAAUUAGGCAAUUUUAUUUUUUAGGGAGUUAUUUUCUUCAUUAAAUUUUUGUGUUUUCCCUCCCAUAUUAUUGACUCUUUCCUCUCUACGACUCUCUUGCAUUACUCAUUUGUUUUCCCAGUUUUUCUUCUAAUGCUCUAAUUUGCUUUUUAAAAUCCUUUUUAAGCUCUUCCAAGAAUUCUUUUUGGGAUUGAGACCAAAUUAUAUUUUUCUUUGAGACUUCAUAAAUAGCCAUUUUGACACUAUUGUUGUCUUCUAAGUUUAUGCCUCCUUCUUCCCUGAUUAUUACCAUACUAAUUUUCUACUCUCAAGCUC